UACGUAGGGGGCAAGCGUUGUCCGGAAUCAUUGGGCGUAAAGAGCGUGUAGGCGGCCAGCUAAGUCCGCUGUGAAAUCUCGAGGCUCAACUUCGAGCUGUCGGUGGGAAACUGUCUGGCUAGAGUCCGGAAGAGGAGAAUGGAAUUCCUGGUGUAGCGGUGAAAUGCGCAGAUAUCAGGAAGAACACCCGUGGCGAAGGCGGUUCUCUGGGACGGUACUGACGCUGAGACGCGAAAGCGUGGGGAGCGAACAGG
rnacentral:rRNA from 1 species